GCCCGUCCACCGAACGGCCGGCAGGCGAUCCGCGUCGGUCUUGCGAGGCGGUGUAUGUAUGGUUAUUUACCCGGAGGCCGGUUCUUGUGCUGCCUACCCCUUCAGGGGAAGCGCAGGCCACUCGAUGUAAGCCUCCAUCCGGCGCCUCCCAGUGGGCGCCGGAGGACAGCGGAGCACCCCCCGCGUUCCACCGAGCCCAAGCAGGUCGCGUGGCACGCGGGGACGUGCGAUGCUCUCGGGC
rnacentral:misc_RNA from 1 species